CUACGGGAGGCAGCAGUGGGGAAUAUUGCACAAUGGAGGAAACUCUGAUGCAGCAACGCCGCGUGGAGGAUGACACUUUUCGGAGCGUAAACUCCUUUUAUAUAGGAAGAAGAUGACGGUACUAUAUGAAUAAGCGCCGGCUAACUCCGUGCCAGCAGCCGCGGUAAUACGGAGGGCGCAAGCGUUACUCGGAAUCACUGGGCGUAAAGAGCGUGUAGGCGGAUUAAAAAGUCAGAAGUGAAAUCCUAUAGCUUAACUAUAGAACUGCUUCUGAAACUCUUAAUCUAGAAUAUGGGAGAGGUAGGUGGAAUUUCUGGUGUAGGGGUAAAAUCCGUAGAGAUCAGAAGGAAUACCGAUUGCGAAGGCGACCUACUAGAACAUUACUGACGCUAAGGCGUGAAAGCGUGGGGAGCAAACAGGAUUAGAUACCCCCGUAGUC
rnacentral:rRNA from 1 species